UACGUAGGGACCAAGCGUUGUUCGGAUUUACUGGGCGUAAAGGGCGCGUAGGCGGCGCGGUAAGUCACUUGUGAAAUCUCUGAGCUUAACUCAGAACGGCCAAGUGAUACUGCAGUGCUAGAGUGUGGAAGGGGCAAUCGGAAUUCUUGGUGUAGCGGUGAAAUGCGCAGAUAUCAGGAGGAACACCGGUGGCGAAGGCGGUGGUCUGGGCCGGAACUGACGCUGAGGAGCGAAAGCGUGGGGAGCGAACAGG
rnacentral:rRNA from 1 species